UUCUUUCCAUGUUGUUUUCAUGUUUCUUCUUAUACAAAUCUUAGUAAUAUCAUGACAUCAUUAUGACUAUUUGAUAGGUCAAAAUUACUGUUUCAGGCUCUGUAUGUUGGUGUUAAACAAAACUAACACUUUGUCUCCUUUACUAACAAUUAAAAAAAAUUGGUGUAAAAUGCUUAACUAAGGCGGGAAUCUAUCUUUAUCUGUAAUCAAAUUAAGUGCUAAUGACUAUUAUUUCGUGACUUGGAAAAACUGUUUUUCUCUAUAUAGAAAUAGAAUAACAAUUUAGUCCUUGAGGUACUCCUUGAAAAGAAGGUUUUGCCGGCAUAUUGACAAAUUCUUUCUGGAGUCCCCCCAAAAAAAAAAAAUUAAUAAAUAAAUUAUAAAUUAAUCAAGGAUCAAUUGUUCCAUUUACAUUUUUAUCUCUAACAAAUUCUAAUUCAGAGCAGUGGAUAUAGUCAUAAUUACAAUGGGUCAAACCAUUAACAUUUCCUUAAUUUUGAAUAUCUCAACAGAUUUGAUUGAUCUUAUGGCAUUUAUGAAUGAAGAAUGUGUUUUAAAGCCAAUUAUUUUAGUUGAUUGAACAUAAUCUGUGAAGGUUUGCUCCGAGUUUGCAUCAUUCAAAGUAGAGACAAUUAAAAAAACUCAAAUGACUGGAACAGAAAUUAUUCAGCCUGCUUAUGCUGUUGAUACUCUCUAUGUUCAAGUUGUUUUGAUUUUUGAAACAAUUAAAUAUUAAAUAGCAUGAGUUCUUACUUCAAAGAGGCUGUUUUCCCUGCUAGUUGUUGUGGCCUUUCUAAUGAAUUCUUAUUUUUCUUGAUGAGGGCGAGGCGUAAGGAAUUCCCAUCUUGAUGCUAACAUUUCAUCAGACAACAUAAAAUGGCAAUUUUUCAAGUGCAUUUUAUCACUCCUACUCAGAACAAGAACAGCCACAGAAAAUUUGAAAAGCUUUGUUCUGAUGACAGUACAAUCUGAGUUGUUGGACUGUCUAGCUGAACUUAUGGAAGACUAGAGAUAUCUCAAUGGUGUGAUACUCGUAACAAAAAGAUUGAAGAUGUGAUUCGUAAAAUAAACAGUUAAACUAUCAUAUUAGUUUACGAAUAGGGUCUUCUAUUGUUUUUAUUGUUUUUGUAUUUGUUAGAAUUUAGCUAUGGAAGGUGGCAAAUGACAAUCUGCAGUUUUGACAGAUAAAUUACUUGUGCAUGUCAAGCUGACGUUAAUGACUGUUUCUUGUGCAGGGACGGACUUCUUCAGGUUACAAUGCCCAAACUACUAGAUUAUAGGGGGCUGAGGAAGGCACAGAUAUAGGUCAAAUUCUUGUACGUAAAAAAAGCAGUGUCUAUUCUAUCUCUUAAUUUAUUCUACUCUUGCACACUUUCGGUUGGUGGUAGAGUAUAAAAGUUACUAUCAUAGAGUUUUUAUCUCAUUAUAUCUUCCAUUAAUUACAUUUUUAGCAAUUUUAAUUAUUUUGGAAGUCAAUAUGAAUCUACAUGAACCUCUUUCAGUUACUAGCUUGGAAAAAAAAUCGAAUUAGUACUAGUUUUAGUUAUGGAGCAUAGCUUUUGAGAUUCGAGUUGGACUUAGCAAAGAAUACGCCUUCGAAAAAUGCAGGACAAGAGUAAAUAGAAAGAUCAAUAGGUUGAUUGAUGUUGAAACACAAAUCGAUAUUGAGAUUAACAGAAAUGAAGUUACUAUCACACGCGUGCCAGCGCC
rnacentral:lncRNA from 1 species